GAACGCACCUUGCGCCCUUUGGCUAUUCUGAAGGGCAUGCCUGUUUGAGUAUCAUGAACAUCUCAACUCUCAUGGUCUGCCAUGAUGAGCUUGGACUUUGGGGGUCUUGCUGGCCUAGCGUCGGCUCCUCUCAAAUGGAUCAGCCUGCCAGUGUUUGGUGGCAUCACAGGUGUGAUAACUAUCUACGCUUGUGGUUCUCUGCCAUGUAACCUUCAGUGAUGGAGGUUCGCUGGAGGCUCACAGAUGUCUCUCCUUGAGGAGGACAGCUUUUUGAACGUUUGAUCUCAAAUCAGGUAGGACUACCCGCUGAACUUAAG
rnacentral:misc_RNA from 1 species